rnacentral:rRNA from 1 species
UGGGGAAUUUUGGACAAUGGGCGAAAGCCUGAUCCAGCAAUGCCGCGUGUGUGAAGAAGGCCUUCGGGUUGUAAAGCACUUUUGUCCGGAAAGAAAUCCUUGGCUCUAAUACAGUCGGGGGAUGACGGUACCGGAAGAAUAAGCACCGGCUAACUACGUGCCAGCAGCCGCGGUAAUACGUAGGGUGCAAGCGUUAAUCGGAAUUACUGGGCGUAAAGCGUGCGCAGGCGGUUUGCUAAGACCGAUGUGAAAUCCCCGGGCUCAACCUGGGAACUGCAUUGGUGACUGGCAGGCUAGAGUAUGGCAGAGGGGGGUAGAAUUCCACGUGUAGCAGUGAAAUGCGUAGAGAUGUGGAGGAAUACCGAUGGCGAAGGCAGCCCCCUGGCCAAUACUGACGCUCAUGCACGAAAGCGUGGGGAGCAAACAGGAUUAGAUACCCUGGUAGUCCACGCCCUAAACGAUGUCAACUAGUUGUUGGGGAUUCAUUUCCUUAGUAACGUAGCUAACGCGUGAAGUUGACCGCCUGGGGAGUACGGUCGCAAGAUUAAAACUCAAAGGAAUUGAC